rnacentral:rRNA from 1 species
UACGAAGGGGGCUAGCGUUGCUCGGAAUCACUGGGCGUAAAGCGCACGUAGGCGGCUUUUUAAGUCAGGGGUGAAAUCCUGGAGCUCAACUCCAGAACUGCCUUUGAUACUGAGAAGCUUGAGUCCGGGAGAGGUGAGUGGAACUGCGAGUGUAGAGGUGAAAUUCGUAGAUAUUCGCAAGAACACCAGUGGCGAAGGCGGCUCACUGGCCCAGUACUGACGCUGAGGUGCGAAAGCGUGGGGAGCAAACAGG